rnacentral:rRNA from 1 species
ACGCUCGACACCUACGGGGGCAGCAGUCGGGAAUAUUGCGCAAUGGAGGAAACUCUGACGCAGUGACGCCGCGUAUAGGAAGAAGGUUUUCGGAUUGUAAACUAUUGUCGUUAGGGAAGAUACAAGACAGUACCUAAGGAGGAAGCACCGGCUAACUAUGUGCCACAGCCGCGGUAAUCUGAGCGGGCUGGCAAGGC